rnacentral:lncRNA from 1 species
UUCACUCACAUCUAUCUCUUUCAUCUUCAUCACGAUUUAUAAAAACUUCAUGAAAUAAUACAAGUCUGUCCAUAAUUACAUUCAAUUAAUAUUUUGAUGAGUAAUGUAUAUGAAGUUGGGAUGAUGACUACAAGUAAAUAGAUGUUCUAAUGUAUUAAUACCUAUGUUCCUUUAUAUAAGAACAACUCAAAUUUUGGAUUCAUUGAAUAAUCAACGUAUCUAGUCUAUAAACCAACCAAAUACAUUAGUUAUUAAAUGAACCUAAAAAAUAAAUUGUCUCUUAUAUAAAAGAAUAUAGGUAGUAGUAAUUUUCAGCCGAUCUCACAACAAUUCGUUAGAAUAAUAAGGCAUGACUUUGUAAAAGUCGGUGUUACAAUUUUUUAAGCAAUGAUUUCAUUAAAAAAACGAGAAAACCCGAGUAUAAGAGAUACUUGAAACCCAUAUAAACUAUCGAAUCAAACAUUCAAAGUGGAACAAGACAAAGGAGAAUAAAACCAAUCAGAAAAACUAAGUGAAGAAGAGGUGUUAUUCGUAACACUCAGCCAUUCCCAUGAAUUAAUCUUAACACUUGACCAACACUCCUCAAACUUCAGAAUAAUUCCUUUGAAGAUAACACCAUUACGCACCAGUCAUAUAUUACAGACAAUCGCCAACCAAAUAACGCUAAUCAAUUUACGAACCUCUGCCACCUUCACCAAAUGGUACUUGAACGGAAACGAAGAUAUAUCCUCCAAAGACAACUCAAAAGUGGGACCUAACCAAGAUACAAUUGCUGUCCAAAUUCUCCUGCUGAAAUCACAAGAACCGAAAACAUGUUGUUUCGAUUCAUCUACCUUAAAGCAAAACACGCAAUAUUUAUCCUGUCAUCGCAUAAAAUCCUCCUUUUCACAAAUUGAUCUUAAUUGUGUUUAUACUAAAAGUGAGCGAUAAAAUAGUCCUUUAUAAGAAUGAGACCCUAUAUAAGAAUAAAGUAUUCAUGUUUAUAAUUUUUUAAAACUUAAAAAACAUUGAAUUUUUAUUCUUCUCUAUAAUAUUCUUUAAAAAAAAUUACAAUACUGUAUCCUUUAUUUUCAAUAUGAAAAUUAAGAUAUCUUAAGAAAAGCCAAGUGAUCAAUUGUGUGAAUCAAGGGAUAACAGUGAUUCAUUAAUGCACUUUAGAGACACCAACUUCCAAAAGACCACACAAUUUAUCUAUCAUGUGUUGUAUUACUUCUAAUUACAAUUGGUUAAUAGGAAAUUUUAUUUUCAUAACAAUUAAUUUCUACAUUAAAUCUUUGCACCGUCAUUUUAGACGAAAAUAAUAAAAAGAAAGAGUUUAAAAAUGUUUUUUCCUUUCUUUUAUGCAAACAAAAGUAUCCUAGACGCACAUGCUAGAGAC